CAAAAGCCCGUUGACAGAAGUCAACCUCAGUUCCCGAUGAUGUGAGGACUGGUGUCCAUACGUUUAAAAGGGCUAAUUUUAAUUAACAUGGAGGUGACGAUCGCCACACUGGAAAGAUGAAUUUAUACUAGACCAGCCAGAAUUCAGUGUGAGCUGAUUAUGGCAAAAUGGUAUGAUCUUUGAACUCUUAUUCACUAAAGAAGAAGUGAUACAUCGUAAAAGUCGAGUUAACAGCUGCAGUUGUUGCCUGGGAAAGGACAGACAAUCUCCUAAUCAGAACGACAGGGUACAACAUAUCCACCCUACAACACUACGACGAGACAGAUUCUACAAAGGACAAGGGGGAUCUCUGCUGGGCAAACCAGUCCUCCAUCUUUGAUCCAUCUAUCGAAGUGCAGCUCAGUUGAGAUAGUUCAGAGAUACCAAGCCCUGCAUAAGCAGUAGGAGAGGAUAAAUGAAUAUCAGUCAUGUCAACAAGGAGAAGGCAGUCACAUUAGCAGUUCAAGGUUAGUCUUCCAGAAGAAGAUAUGGAGAUAAUUUUUCUACAUUAUGGUCAGGAUAGAGGUAGCUACUAACACAGCGAUAGAUAGGUAGGUAGGUAGGUAGGUAGGUAGGUAGGUAGGUAGGUAUGCAUGAUAGUGUUAGCUAUGUCUCAGACACUGACAGAUCAGAGUUACCUACAGUUUAACUUGUCAGGAGGAAGUCUCUGUACUGGGGAGUGAUAGAGGGAGAGAGAUUAUGUGUGUGUGUGUGUGUGUGUGUGUGUGUGUGUGUGUGUGUGUGUGUGUGUGUGUGUGUGUGUGUGUGUGUGUGUGUGUGUGUGUGUGUGUGUCUAUGUGUGGAAGUGCAAAUGCAUUCAUAUGUGUGUGUGUGUGUGUCUAAGAUAUUGCUGCACUCAAACACAUAUGUAAACAAGUGCACUUGGUAGGUGAUUUAUAAAAGAUUAAGUGUCUUUGAGACAGGACUGGAUGUCUUGCCUUCCUUUCACACAUUAUAUCAUAUAUGCAUUUCAUUUUAUAAAGACUAAUAUACUCUCUCUCUCUCUCGCUCUCUCUCUCACACUUUGUUCCCCUACCCAUCUCAUUCCCCCUCUGUGACCUACCUCCCUCUUCCUUCACUCGUCUUGUCCCCCCAUCCAUCUCACUCCCCCUCUCUCACCUACCUCCCCUCUUGUUCCCAACCCAUCUCACUCCCCCUCUCUCACCUACCUCCCCCUUCUUUCACCUGCCCCUCUCCCCUCUUGUCCCCCAACCCAUCUCACUCCCCCUUUCUCACCUACCUCCCCCUUCCUUCACCCUUCUCCCUUCUUGAUCCUAGGUGUUGUAUCUGAGCGGUUUGGAUCUUAUCCUGGGUCAGAACUACGCAGUGCGAGGGGACCAAGUCUUGGUCCUAGGUGUUGCAUCUGAGAGAUUUGGAUCUUAUCGAUAGGACCAGGUCAUGCUAGAGACCCAGCACUUUGUCUGCUACCCAGAGCUCAAUAGUGACUAGAUCAAGUGUAAUGCCAGGGACUGCAUCUGGGAGGCAUUUAUCAUUGAAGGUGUCCUGUGGUGUUACUACCCUGAGGACUAUGGUUGCACCUCUACAAUGGUGACAGAGCAGCCAUCCUGCUGGAGCUUCAACCUCAGCAAAAAGCUAAACCAGUGGUCACCAACCGGUCAAUCGCGAUCGACUUGUCGAUCUCCAAGGCAUUUCUAGUCAAACACCAAACAUUUCUAUAAAAAAAAAACAAUAAAGCCCUGUGUACAUAUUUUUUUUAUUCGUCUCGGGCUGUUGGUGGUUGGUGCAGCCAGGCAAACUGUUUCCAUUUCAUGUGUCUGAAGGUACAAACUCUGCCUUCCUGGUGGGCCUGGUGAGGAAAUCAAGUGCGCUAUGCUACCGCUGGCCAAUCAGAUUGCUCAGAUGACAGAGUCUGCAGUAACAUACAGGCAUAAAAGAAAGCUACUAUGAGAUUUCAAAAUGCUUAAAACCAUGACUAGAGAGAGACUGUCAACGAGUACAACAAAGAGCUGCUGUUUUUAUGAGUGAGUUUGCAUUCAACACUUUUAUAAGACAUAAAAUGCGCUUCCUAUUUCCACUCAGCGCUACAACAAGCAGUGCAGCAGUAAUGAAUGAGUAGGAAAGUGUAUCUAUAGGCUUGCGUUGUUGUUAUUGUUGGCAGCUUGGGUCUUUUUUAAUAUCAAGAAAUAUUCACUUGGUCUGUUCAUAGGAGUAACAACAUGAAUUUGUGCAUGAGGCAGAAAUAAUGCGGUGCGACUUGAGUUUCACCAUCAGCUGGAAGACGGUGUCCCUUUUUGGUCAGUGUCAGUGGAGGAAAGGGAGAGCGGAGACUGAACAUCAAAUGCAGGCACCAUCAGCCCAGUAAAAUAAAAAGCAAAUGAUUUUAAUCUAUGCUCACUCAGCUAUGCCUCACAAGUAAUACAACAAUGGAUCUAUUACUGGUGUGAUCAUAUAGCCUACCACAAAUGUUGAAAUAUAAUUUCAAGAAUUGUCCCGAACAACAAUGCAUUGGCAGGUAAAUUCAAGCAAAGCCAAUAUGCGGUGAUACUGUAUUGGGCCUAUAGCUUACUGCACAAACCUCAUUGCUAUAGUACUGUUUUUAAUUGGUUAAUGUUGCAUAGGCUUACAUUUUUUAAGUAAUGUUAAUAAAAAAUCCGAGCGGUAGAUCUUGGCAUGUAUUUUGACUUAGAAAGUGAUCUUGAUUCAGAAAAGGUUGGUGACCACUGCGCUAAACGCUAAAGACUGGAAUCUGCAAACAUAGAUACUCUCCAAGUUAAGCUCAAAUAUCACAGUGUACUCCUGCUGCAGUUUACGGUUCCUUCUUAUGAUUGGAAUGACUCAGUUACUGUCACAUGGCACACAUCUCUCUCUCAAUUCAAUUCAAUUACAAUUAAGUGCUUUAUUGGCAUGGGAAAAGUUUACAUUGCCAAUGCUAGUGAAUUAGAUAAUUAACAAAAGUGAAAUAAUGUACAUUACACUCACAAAAGUGACAAAAUAAUAAAGAUUUUUCAAAUGUCAUAUUAUGUCUAUAUACAAUGUUGUAACGAUGCAAAUAGUUAACGUACAAAAGGUAAAAUAAAUAAACAUAAAUAUAGGUUGUAUUUAUAA
rnacentral:lncRNA from 1 species